rnacentral:rRNA from 1 species
CAGCCGCCACGGGAAAACGGAGGGGGCUAGCGUUGUUCGGAAUUACUGGGCGUAAAGCGCACGUAGGCGGCUUGGUAAGUUAGAGGUGAAAGCCCGGAGCUCAACUCCGGAAUUGCCUUUAAGACUGCCGAGCUAGUAGGUGAGAGAGGUAAGUGGAAUUCCGAGUGUAGAGGUGAAAUUCGUAGAUAUUCGGAAGAACACCAGUGGCGAGGGCGGCUUACUGGCUCAUACUGGACGCUGAGGUGCGAAAGCGUGGGGAGCAAACAGGAUUAGAUACCCCCGUAGUCCCUGUCUCUUAUAC